AGUGAACGCUGGCGGCGUGCUUAACACAUGCAAGUCGAACGAGAACGGAUUAUAGCUUGCUAUAAUUGUCAGCUAAGUGGCGCACGGGUGAGUAAUGUAUAGGUAAUAUGCCUCUUACUAAGGGAUAACAAAUGGAAACGUUUGCUAAUACCUUAUACUCCUUAUUAACAGAAGUUAAUAAGGGAAAGAUUUAUUGGUAAGAGAUUAGCCUGUAUUGUAUCAGUUAGUUGGUGGGGUAAUGGCCUACCAAGACUAUGACACAUAACUGGUUUGAGAGGAUGAUCAGUUACACUGGAACUGAGACACGGUCCAGACUCCUACGGGAGGCAGCAGUGGGGAAUAUUGCACAAUGGACGAAAGUCUGAUGCAGCAACGCCGCGUGGAGGAUGACACAUUUCGGUGCGUAAACUCCUUUUAUAUGAGAAGAUAAUGACAGUAUUAUAUGAAUAAGCACCGGCUAACUCCGUGCCAGCCGCCGCCGUAA
rnacentral:rRNA from 1 species